GACGAACGCUGGCGGCGUGCUUAACACAUGCAAGUCGAACGGAAAGGCCCCUUUGGGGGUACUCGAGUGGCGAACGGGUGAGUAACACGUGAGUAACCUGCCCUUGACUUCGGGAUAACUUCAGGAAACUGGGGCUAAUACCGGAUAGGAAUCCUUGCUGCAUGGUGGGGGUUGGAAAGCUUCGGGGGUUUUGGAUGGACUCGCGGCGUAUCAGCUUGUUGGGGGGGUAGUGGCUUACCAAGGCUUCGUCGGGUAGCCCGCCUGAGAGGGCGACCGGCCACAUUGGGACCGAGAUAAGGCCCAGACUCCUACGGGAGGCAGCAGUGGGGAAUAUUGCACGAUGGGCGGAAGCCUGAUGCAGCAACGCCGCGGGCGGGAUGACGGCCUUCGGGUUGUAAACCGCUUUCAGCAGGGGCGAAGCUUGUGGUGACGGUACCUGCAGAAGAAGCACCGGCUAACUACGUG
rnacentral:rRNA from 1 species